rnacentral:lncRNA from 1 species
UCUCUCUUGCUCUCUUUCUUUGUUACGAUGGGUUCUAUUCUCAAGCUCUAUGCAUUCCGCUGGUUGCCCUUGGUGGUGGCUUCCAUAAGAAGACAACCACUCCAAGUGGGAGGAUGGAGGGAGGAGGAUUUCGUGGAGGGGGAAGCUUUGUUGAGAGGCAUCAUAUUUGUUAAUGUCUACUUCUUUCUCUAACACUUGCCUUCUUAAUUCUUGUUUCCCAUAGGCUGGGAUUUAUGGAGGGAUUGGAAAACUAAGAAAAGGAAAGGGGAAAAGAAGGAGAGGAGGAUUGGAGCAAUGGUGGCCAGGGGAUGGGUGUGGCAGCGGUGGUGGCUAGGGAUUCCCUAGCGAGGGCUCUAUGGCUAUCUUAGGAUGGAGGGUUAGGGC